ACCUAAUUUCUUUUUUUAUAUACAACAUGUCAUCGUCUUCAUCAUCUUCCACAAAUCGUCUUCAUCCCUCCAUUCACAAUCGGGCCAGCCUUCCCUCCCUGAUACUUCCGAUCAUUGUGGCCAUUCUCUGCUUCCAAUCAGUCGCUGGUCCCAAUCAUUGCUUCCCCAGUUGUCGUGCAAACACACACACAUAUCAUUGCGUCUAAGUGCAUGAUCUUGACAAUGUCGAAUUCUGAAAAGAUAUCAAGUAUGUUUAUGUAGAUGAUUCAAUGGAUGAUAUUGGUGAGAUUCUAAUUCUAUUCGAAUGGAAUCAUGAAUUCCAAUUCUGUUGGAAUGGAAUGACGAAUUCCAAUUCUGUUGGAAUCACAGAAGUUGAUGCUUGAAGAACAGACCACAAAAUUGAAACGGACCACAUUAUUCUUUUAGAAUGUAUUAGUUAUUGUUAGAUUUUAAUGUUUUCUUUCACGUUUUGAUUGUUUUUUAGUUUUAUUCUUUAACAAUAAAUGUAAUUCUUAACAAUUGUUACCCGUAUUCUAUAAGAAAAUAAUAUAUUUUUUGUUUUUAUUCUUCAA